GCUGGGCGUGGUGGUGCGCGCCUGUAAUCCCAGCUACUUGGGAGGCUGAGGCAGGAGAAUCACUUGAACCCAGGAUGUGGAGGUUGCAGUGAGCCUAGAUCGUGCCACUGCAUUCCAGUCUGGGUGACAGAGUGAGACUCUAUCUCAA
rnacentral:SRP_RNA from 1 species